rnacentral:ncRNA from 1 species
CAAUCUGGGUUAACGAUAGCCCCCUUGCUAAGUAAUUAGUAAUGGAAAACCUUUUAAAUUGCUGGAAAGCCCUAAAGCUGCACAGACUACAACGUGAUUGGAAACUUUGAGCGUGAAUGUCGCGAGAGCAGAAAAAACAGUGCAGAUGUGGAUGGAGUUGUAAAUCAACAUUCACCUUAAAAUGGGUAAUCAGCAGCCAAACCUAAUUUAUUGGGGAGGUUCAACGAGUAUAAUAAGGGUAUCCUUUUAAUUUAAGUGAAAUAAUGUUAUAAUACCUUAUAGGACGG